GGGCUGAUAGUCUAUCGGCAGGACGCUGCCCUUACAAGGCAGAGAGCCCAGUCCAACUCUGGGUCAGCCCA
rnacentral:tRNA from 1 species